rnacentral:miRNA from 1 species
AGGGAUCGCGGGCGGGUGGCGGCCU